CUUCUUUUUUUAUUCCAGCGUCACUGGUCAGUCUUCCGUAGCAAGUUGUAAUGAUGAUAUGUACGAGGAGGUUAUUUAAAUGUUUAUUGUUCAUAAAACCAAUGCUUGUUGUCCAUUCGUUUGAUGUAUUUAAUCAUUAGAUUUUACCAUUUGAUUAGGGAGUUUUCCGUUUUGAAUUUUCCUCGGAGUUCAGUAUUUUUGUGAUUUUACUUUAUUCUACCUAGAACUAUUUGUCACUGUUGGCUUGUUUCUCUAGUAUUUAAUUCUAAAU
rnacentral:lncRNA from 1 species